UCCCUAGAUGUUCUGGGCCGCACGCGCGCUACACUGAACAGUUCAACAAGUCUUAACCUUGGCCGAUAGGUCUGGGUAAUCUUUGAACGCUGUUCGUGAUUGGGAUAGACCUUUGCAAUUAUGGGUCUUCAACGAGGAAUUCCUAGUAAACGCAAGUCAUCAGCUUGCAUUGAUUACGUCCCUGCCCUUUGUACACACCGCCCGUCGCACCUACCGAUUGAAUGGUCCGGUGAAAUCUCGGGACGGCGGCUCGGUCGCUUGCGUCCGACUGCUGAAACUUGAUUAAACCAUAUCAUUUAGAGGAAGGUGAAGUCGUAACA
rnacentral:rRNA from 1 species